rnacentral:rRNA from 1 species
CCUACGGGAGGCAGCAGUGGGGAAUUUUGGACAAUGGGGGCAACCCUGAUCCAGCCAUUCCGCGUGAGUGAAGAAGGCCUUCGGGUUGUAAAGCUCUUUCGGCAGGAACGAAACGGCUCUCUCUAACAUAGGGGGCUAAUGACGGUACCUGAAGAAGAAGCACCGGCUAACUACGUGCCAGCAGCCGCGGUAAUACGUAGGGUGCGAGCGUUAAUCGGAAUUACUGGGCGUAAAGCGUGCGCAGGCGGUUUUGUAAGACAGAUGUGAAAUCCCCGGGCUUAACCUGGGAAUUGCGUUUGUGACUGCAAGACUGGAGUGCGGCAGAGGGGGGUGGAAUUCCACGUGUAGCAGUGAAAUGCGUAGAGAUGUGGAGGAACACCGAUGGCGAAGGCAGCCCCCUGGGUCGACACUGACGCUCAUGCACGAAAGCGUGGGGAGCAAACAGGAUUAGAUACCCUGGUAGUCCACGCCCUAAACGAUGCGAACUAGGUGUUGGGGAAGGAGACUUUCUUAGUACCGUAGCUAACGCGUGAAGUUCGCCGCCUGGGGAGUACCGUCGCAAGAUUAAAACUCAAAUGAAUUGACGG